GGGUCAGUAGGUUGGUCGUGCCACCGGUACGUACUGGUCUCACUGAUUACUCCUUCCUGAAGAACCGUAAUGCCAUUAAUUUGGUGUUGCGGGGAAACAGGACUGUUACUUUGAAAAAAUUAGAGUGUUUAAAGCAAGCUAACGCUUGAAUACAUUAGCAUGGAAUAAUGAAAUAGGACGAUCGAUCCUAUUUUGUUGGUUUCUAGUAUUGACGUA
rnacentral:rRNA from 1 species